CGCGGCCUAUCAGCUUGUUGGUGAGGUAACGGCUCACCAAGGCUACGACGGGUAGCUGGUCUGAGAGGACGACCAGCCACACUGGGACUGAGACACGGCCCAGACUCCUACGGGAGGCAGCAGCAGGGAAUAUUGCACAAUGGGCGAAAGCCUGAUGCAGCGACGCCGCGUGAGGGAUGAAGGCCUUCGGGUUGUAAACCUCUUUCAGGAGGGGAGAAGCGAAAGUGACGGUACCUCCAGAAGAAGCCCCGGCCAACUACGUGCCAGCAGCCGCGGUAAUACGUAGGGGGCAAGCGUUGUCCGGAUUCAUUGGGCGUAAAGAGCUCGUAGGCGGCUCAGCAAGUCGGUCGUGAAAGCCCGGGGCUCAACCCCGGGACGCCGAUCGAAACUGCUGUGGCUAGGGUCCGGUAGAGGAGAGUGGAAUUCCCGGUGUAGCGGUGAAAUGCGCAGAUAUCGGGAGGAACACCAGUAGCGAAGGCGGCUCUCUGGGCCGGUACCGACGCUGAGGAGCGAAAGCUAGGGGAGCAAACAGGAUUAGAUACCCUGGUAGUCCUAGCCGUAAACGUUGGGCACUAGGUGUGGCGGACUCAUUGACGUCUGCCGUGCCGAAGCAAACGCAUUAAGUGCCCCGCCUGGGGAGUACGG
rnacentral:rRNA from 1 species